CGAUUUGGGCAUAUCUUCUUCUUCGUCAUUCUUUACUCUUUUUCAUUCUCAGUUCCUUCCUGGUCUCUUCACUCAUCUCAUCGCCUGCUUCUAUUGUUGUCUUUGGGUUCUGUAAUUUUUAGGUGCAAAUAAACGGCCAUCUGUAACUCUAGAAGUUUCUUCACUUUCUUUUAUCUUCAUUUUCCUCCUACCUAUCUCUUUUUCUCUUCAAAUUUUAGUGUCCUCUCACUUUAUAUCCCUUUUUGUAUUUUCCAUUGAGUUUUAUAGUAUUCUGGUGAGUAUUUUGUGUUUUGUAUUUUCCUUUGUCCUUUUUCAUUUUAAACGUGUCCAUUAAUAAACAACACCCAACUUGCUCUUCUUCUCCCUUGUAAUCUGAAAGCAUUUUUCUUCUCUUUCUUUCUCUUGUGGUGGGUGGUUGUCCGUUUGAUUCUUAGCUUUGUGUUAUUUUGUAAAGUUAGCAGCGUCUUUUCGGAUUUUUUUUGAUUUACAGAAGCAUAACUUAUAAACUCAAAUAUUACAGUCAAGAAAAGGGAGGGGAAGUCCUUUUCUUUGUGGGGGAAAUGCAUCAAUCGACGAGAUAUAUUUUCCUAAAACUUCUCCUGGCUUAAACAUAACAUGCAUGUGGCUAUUUUUUUGUGAAUUUAGGUUUGUCGAUGUAGCGAUUUCUGUAUUUAUCUUUUUCGAUUCUAUUUAAUGUGAUACUGACUACCUUUUCGUUUCCUCUUAUUUGAGUUAUGCUUUACUCUGCACCGCCGCAUCUUAUGGGGUAGGCGUCUAGAAAAGAUUGGAGUAAAGGGUGCUUUCCCCUACAAAUUGGCUGAAAGUGAUGUCGGACUGGUGGAGGAUUUUGUUGAAAUCUACCACAACGGCAUACGAUAUGCAGUGGCUUGCCUUCAGGAAAAAUUAAAAAGCUUUUAGGAAUAUAAGUUCCUCCAUUGCAUAAUUUGGAACACAGAUUCAAGCCGUUUGGAAGUUGAUACGCGCAGAAUGGAAUUUCUGGAGCA